GCAUUUUUGGGUUGCGCUCUGCGGUGACCCGGAAGUAACAGAACGCGUUACUUCCGGGUUUUGCCGCAUGCGCAGAUGCUCAAAAUGACCUGUUCGCAUCCAGAGGUACCACUGUAUUUUUUUUUAUUUUAACCUGUAUACUAAGCUUGUGACAUGCCUUCUCUCCCCCCCCCCAAAAAAAUAGUGUAAUCAGCUGAACAUAGUUGCUCACAUUUUGACAAUUCAUUUGGGAGAUACAAGUUACUUUUAACAUACUGUACGACAAGAUCGAAUAAUCAUAGGCUACUAAUUCCCUACAACAACAGCCACAUCAAAGAUGAACUAGCCAAUUAAUUGGGGCUGGAUAAAUAUUGUGAAUGGGGACACACAUCCAGAUGAGCAUCGCCAUGAGCAAUGCAUGGGAUAGGCUGAUACUGUGUGCAUAUCUCUCUUGCUAGAUCAGGUGCCAUUUUUAUUGUUAGCCGCUUUGAGACUCCUUAGGGUAGUGAUAAAGCAGGAUAUCAAAUCCAAACUCUUCU